rnacentral:rRNA from 1 species
GAUGAACGCUGGCGGCGUGCCUAAUACAUGCAAGUCGAGCGAAUGGAUUAAGAGCUUGCUCUUAUGAAGUUAGCGGCGGACGGGUGAGUAACACGUGGGUAACCUGCCCAUAAGACUGGGAUAACUCCGGGAAACCGGGGCUAAUACCGGAUAACAUUUUGAACCGCAUGGUUCGAAAUUGAAAGGCGGCUUCGGCUGUCACUUAUGGAUGGACCCGCGUCGCAUUAGCUAGUUGGUGAGGUAACGGCUCACCAAGGCAACGAUGCAUAGCCGACCUGAUAGUGUGAUCGGCGCCACUGGGACGUGAUCACGGCCCAGACUCCGACGGGAGGCAGCAGUAGGGAAUCUUCCGAAAUGGACGAAAGUCGGACGGAGCAACGCCGCGUGAGUGAUGAAGGCUUUCGGGUCGUAAAACUCUGUUGUUAGGGAAGAACACGUGCUAGUUGAAUAAGCUGGCACCUUGACGGUACCUAACCAGAAAGCCACGGCUAACUACGUGCCAGCCGCCGCAGUAA